rnacentral:rRNA from 1 species
AGCAGCCGCGGUAAUUCCAGCUCCAAUAGCGUAUAUUAAAGUUGCUGCAGUUAAAAAGCUCGUAGUUGAAUUUCGGGACCAUCAUGUCGGUCGUGCCUCGGUACGUACUGGCAUUGUUGGUUUCUCCCUUCUGACGAACCAUGAUGUCAUUUAUUUGGUGUUGUGGGGAAUCAGGACUGUUACUUUGAAAAAUUAGAGUGUUUAAAGCAGGCUCACGCUUGAAUACAUUAGCAUGGAAUAAUGAAAUAGGACGUUUGAUUCUAUUUUGUUGGUUUCUAGGAUCGACGUAAUGAUUAAUAGGGAUAGUUGGGGGCAUUAGUAUUCAAUUGUCAGAGGUUGAAAUUCUUGGAUUUAUUGAAGACUAACUACUG